UACGUAGGGGGCAAGCGUUGUCCGGAUUUAUUGGGCGUAAAGAGCGUGUAGGCGGCCAGACAGGUCCGUUGUGAAAACUCGAGGCUCAACCUCGAGACGCCGAUGGAAACCGUCUGGCUAGAGUCCGGAAGAGGAGAGUGGAAUUCCUGGUGUAGCGGUGGAAUGCGCAGAUAUCAGGAGGAACACCGAUGGCGAAGGCAGCUCGCUGGGACGGUACUGACGCUGAGACGCGAAAGCGUGGGUAGCAAACAGG
rnacentral:rRNA from 1 species